rnacentral:rRNA from 1 species
UUUAACGGCCGCGGUAUUCUAACCGUGCAAAGGUAGCGCAAUCACUUGCCCUUUAAAUGGGGGCCCGUAUGAACGGCACAACGAAGGCUCAACUGUCUCCUCCCCUCAGUCAAUGAAACUGAUCUCCCUGUGCAGAAGCAGGGAUAAUCCAAUAAGACGAAAAGACCCCAUGGAGCUUCAGACGCUAACCACCCCCUUAACACUCCCACCAGGGAGAAGACCCCCCCCUCUCACCUGUCUUUGGUUGGGGCGACCACGGAGGAAUGAGAGCCUCCACGCGGAGGGAGCACUUCUCCCACAGCCACGAGCCACAACUCUAAGCAACAAAACUUUUGACCAUAACGAUCCGACACGACCAACGAACUAAGUUACCCUGGGGAUAACAGCGCAAUCC